rnacentral:rRNA from 1 species
CGAACGCUGGCGGCAUGCCUAACACAUGCAAGUCGAACGAGACCUUCGGGUCUAGUGGCGCACGGGUGCGUAACGCGUGGGAAUCUGCCCUUGGGUUCGGAAUAACAGCGAGAAAUUGCUGCUAAUACCGGAUGAUGACGUAAGUCCAAAGAUUUAUCGCCCAAGGAUGAGCCCGCGUAGGAUUAGCUAGUUGGUGAGGUAAAGGGCUCACCCAAGGCGACGAUCCUUAGCUGGUCUGAGAGGAUGAUCAGCCACACUGGGACUGAGACACGGCCCAGACUCCUACGGGAGGCAGCAGUGGGGAAUAUUGGACAAUGGGCGAAAGCCUGAUCCAGCAAUGCCGCGUGAGUGAUGAAGGCCUUAGGGUUGUAAAGCUCUUUUACCCGGGAUGAUAAUGACAGUACCGGGAGAAUAAGCUCCGGCUAACUCCGUG